GACGAACGCUGGCGGCAUGCUUAACACAUGCAAGUCGAACGGAAAGGCCCUGCUUUUGUGGGGUGCUCGAGUGGCGAACGGGUGAGUAACAUGUGAGUAACCUGCCCUUGACUUUGGGACAACUUCAGGAAACUGGGGCUACUACCGGAUAGGUGCUCCUGCUGCAUGGUGGGCGUUGGACAGUUUCGGCGGUUGGGGAUGGACUCGCGGCUUAUCAGCUUGUUGGUGGGGUAGUGGCUUACCAAGGCUUUGACGGGUAGCCGGCCAGAGAGGGGGACCGGCGACAAUGGGACUGAGGUACGGACCAGACGCGUACGGGAGGCAGCAGUGGGGAAUAUUGCACAAUGGGCGGAAGCCUGAUGCAGCAACGCCGCGAGCGGGAUGCCGGCCUUCUGGUUGUAAACCGCUUUAGCCUGAGACGAAGCGGGAGUGACGGUAAUGGGUAAAGAAGCACCGGCUAACUACGUG
rnacentral:rRNA from 1 species